GCAAACAGCACUCUUAAAAUGAGUUAAGUGGAAGACAUAGGGGCAAAGGAGGUAACUUCUAUAAAGAUGGAAGCUGCUUCUGGCUCAUCAGCCAUCAUUGAUGAUAACCAGUCCUACAAUUCUCAUUAGGUGGUUCUGUUACCCCACUAUUUCCUUGGGGUCUGUUGUGCUAAGGAAAGGAUUGGUUGGGUAAAGAGGUGUGGCACAAAUAACCCUCAGGAAUACAGGCCACAGAGCUAAUGAAGGGCCCCAAGGAAAGAAAGACCUGCCCAUCAGCGAUGAAUUCUCUCCCCUCAUGCCACAGACCUGAGGGCACGUGACCCAGGAAUGUGCAUCCAAAGAUAAUACUACCUUCAGAGAACUCUACUUAUAGGCUUUGGUUUUUCAAGAAAAAGUAAAAGAUUCAUGAUUCACUGAGCUCUUUCCUUGUGAGAAGAAAGACCACUCUUAUAUGCUGAAGUUGGACAGCAGUUCCCGAGGAAGCUGAAUUCUAGCUGUUUAUUGUUAUUGGGUCUUGUACUAUGCCCUUUAUGUUGUCAUUAAUCAAUAAAUACGUGUGGAACAAAUGAUUAGCUAGA